rnacentral:rRNA from 1 species
ACUCAAAGGAAUUGACGGGGGCUCACACAAGCGGUGGAGGAUGUGGUUUAAUUCGAAGCAACGCGCAGAACCUUACCAGGUCUUGACAUACCGGGAUUAAUUCCGUGAAAGCGGGAGGAUUGCCAGCAAUGGUGUAACCGGAACAGGUGCUGCAUGGCUGUCGUCAGCUCGUGCCGUGAGGUGUUAGGUUAAGUCCUUUAACGAGCGAAACCCCUACAUUUAGUUACCAGCGGGUAAAGCCGGGGACUCUAGAUGGACUGCCGCGCAAGCAGGAGGAAGGUGGGGACGACGUCAAGUCAUCAUGGCCUUUAUGACCUGGGCCACACACGUCCUACAAUGGGUUAUACAAAGGGACGCAAAACCGUAAGGCGAAGCCAAUCCUGGAAAGUAACCCUCAGUUCAGAUUGUGGGCUGCAAUUCGCCCACAUGAAGCUGGAAUCGCUAGUAAUCGCGGAUCAGCCACGCCGCGGUGAAUCUGUUCCUGAGCCUUGUACACACCGCCCGU